rnacentral:lncRNA from 1 species
AUGAGGUGGGGUGGAAUUUGCCUAUCACCGUCCUCAAUGCCGUGUUUAUACUUUCAAAGACCAUCCCUCCUUACCUCUUUUACAGAUGAGGAAAUUAAGACUGUCAGCAGUUCAUUGACUUGUUCAAGACCACAUAGCUGCCCCCUAGCAGUGCAAGAACCAAAGCCAGAUUACCUCCUGGGACUUUUCAAAAAUGCCUCAUCCCAAGGAACGCCCCAAGGGUCUAGAACUGCCCAUCCCAGGUCAACUGGGAAGAAGGAAAGACAAGACAAGAACGUACAACCUGCAAAUAAUAGUAAGGGAGUAAGUGGAAAUAUGAAAUAAAUACUGAUGCGCCUGCCCCAUCUGGUCACACAGUGCUUUGAAGAAAGGCCCUUCCUUUGGGGAAAAUGACAAAGAAUUCGGCCUUCAUCAUCAAUGCUGGAGAAUAAGACAGACCUGUUCACUUCCCCUUCGGCAUGUGACGUUUGGAACACAGAUUUACGUGAGGAGCAGGAAAAGAUCAUCUCGGGCUCCUGCUGCUGCUGUCCAGCCUCCCUGGCUCUGUGCGAAGAGUGUCCUCCCAAGGCACCUGGACGUCCCACCUUUGAGAGAGAUUUGCACACACCGUGACCCACGAGCAGGUCCUUGGGGCCAGAAGGAGCCUCCACUGUCAGCACAAGAGCAUCACCGCCAAGUCAGACAGCUUCUUGGAAAAUAAAAAGUGAAGUCACAGAACAAAACAAAAACUCUCUCUUCAAACUGCUGUCUCUCCCUGCCGUGUGAGGACAACAGUGGAAAAGCAGCCAUCUGCAAGCCAAGAAGAAAGCUCCAACCAGAACCCAGGCAUGCUGGCACCCACAUCUCAGAUGUUUAUCUUCCAGAACU